rnacentral:rRNA from 1 species
GAUGAACGCUGGCGGCGUGCCUAAUACAUGCAAGUCGAGCGAAUGGAUUAAGAGCUUGCUCUUAUGAAGUUAGCGGCGGACGGGUGAGUAACACGUGGGUAACCUGCCCAUAAGACUGGGAUAACUCCGGGAAACCGGGGCUAAUACCGGAUAACAUUUUGAACCGCAUGGUUCGAAAUUGAAAGGCGGCUUCGGCUGUCACUUAUGGAUGGACCCGCGUCGCAUUAGCUAGUUGGUGAGGUAACGGCUCACCAAGGCAACGAUGCGUAGCCGACCUGAGAGGGUGAUCGGCCACACUGGGACUGAGACACUGCCCAGACGCCUACGGGAGGCAGCAGUAGGGAAUCUUCCGCAAUGGACGAAAGUCUGACGGAGCAACGCCGCGUGAGUGAUGAAGGCUUUCGGGUCGUAAAACUCUGUUGUUAGGGAAGAACAAGUGCUAGUUGAAUAAGCUGGCACCUUGACGGUACCUAACCAGAAAGCCACGGCUGACUACGUGCCAGCCGCCGCGGUAA